ACACUUCAUACUCCUGUGGACAACCAUCAGCUGAACGACACGCUGCACACUCUCAAAUUUUGAAAAAUCAUGGGCUGCAACACAAGUAGGGGGGCCACAGUGGUUGACCCUUCUGAAAAGCCAGAGGACAGGCCGAAAACUGCCACUUCCACCAAGCAGGCGCCUGCAGAGGAAACGAAUGGAACAAAAGAAAAAGAUGAAAAAACGAAGAGUUCCAGCUGAGCGCCACCUUUACACCGAACCUAACUCUUCUUCUUUUCUAUCAAUGAACAAGGAUACAGCACCUCUCUGUAAAAUUGGCCUGUCCGAGGGUGAAGGAGGACCUGUAAGCAGGAUGAGGCGACGCUGCACUACUGUCCAUCAACGUCUGUCAUCUGGGCCAGGCACACAUAAUCAAAUACGCACACUUCCGAAGAAAUC